AGUCCCGUGGUGUAAUGGUGAGCGCUCUGGGUUCUGAAUCCAGACAUCCCAGUUCAAAUCUCAGUGGGACUU
rfam:Tauraco erythrolophus contig59488, whole genome shotgun sequence.